AGACGGAGGGUGCUAGCGUUAUUCGGAAUUAUUGGGCAUAAAGAGCGUGUAGGCGGCCGGUUAAGUCAGGUGUGAAAGCCCGGGGCUCAACCCCGGAAGGGCACUUGAAACUGGUCGGCUUGAGUUCGGGAGAGGGAAGCGGAAUUCCUGGUGUAGAGGUGAAAUUCGUAGAUAUCAGGAGGAACACCGGUGGCGAAGGCGGCUUCCUGGACCGAAACUGACGCUGAGACGCGAAAGCGUGGGGAGCAAACAGGAUUAGAUACCCUGGUAGUCCACGCCGUAAACGAUGGGCGCUAGGUGUGGGGGGUUUUUAAUCCCUCCGUGCCGCAGUUAACGCAUUAAGCGCCCCGCCUGGGGAGUACGGCCGCAAGGUUAAA
rnacentral:rRNA from 1 species